GGUACAGUUGAGCAAUUGGCUGGCUCGCCUGACUGUAGAUCAGGUCCUUUCAAUAGGCGUGUAGGUUCGAGUCCUACCUGUACCA
rnacentral:tRNA from 1 species